rnacentral:rRNA from 1 species
GACGAACGCUGGCGGCGUGCUUAACACAUGCAAGUCGAGCGGUAAGGCCCUUUCGGGGGUACACGAGCGGCGAACGGGUGAGUAACACGUGGGUGACCUGCCCUUAGCUCUGGGGUAAGCCUGGGAAACUGGGUCUAAUACCGGAUAUGACUCCAUGACGCAUGUUGUGGGGUGGAAAGCCUUGUGCGGCUAGGGAUGGGCCUGCGGCCUAUCAGCUUGUUGGUGGGGUGAUGGCCUACCAAGGCGACGACGGGUAGCCGGCCUGAGAGGGCGACCGGCCACACUGGGACUGAGACACGGCCCAGACUCCUACGGGAGGCAGCAGUGGGGAAUCUUGCGCAAUGGGCGAAAGCCUGACGCAGCGACGCCGCGUGGGGAUGACGGCCU